rnacentral:rRNA from 1 species
GACGAACGCUGGCGGCGUGCUUAACACAUGCAAGUCGAACGGAAAGGCCCUGCUUUUGUGGGGUGCUCGAGUGGCGAACGGGUGAGUAACACGUGAGUAACCUGCCCUUGACUUUGGGAUAACUUCAGGAAACUGGGGCUAAUACCGGAUAGGAGCUCCUGCUGCAUGGUGGGGGUUGGAAAGUUUCGGCGGUUGGGGAUGGACUCGCGGCUUAUCAGCUUGUUGGUGGGGUAGUGGCUUACCAAGGCUUUGACGGGUAGCCGGCCUGAGAGGGUGACCGGCCACAUUGGGACUGAGAUACGGCCCAGACUCCUACGGGAGGCAGCAGUGGGGAAUAUUGCACAAUGGGCGGAAGCCUGAUGCAGCAACGCCGCGUGCGGGAUGACGGCCUUCGGGUUGUAAACCGCUUUCGCCUGUGACGAAGCGUGAGUGACGGUAAUGGGUAAAGAAGCACCGGCUAACUACGUGCCAGCAGCCGCGGUGAUACGUAGGGUGCGAGCGUUGUCCGGAUUUAUUGGGCGUAAAGGGCUCGUAGGUGGUUGAUCGCGUCGGAAGUGUAAUCUUGGGGCUUAACCCUGAGCGUGCUUUCGAUACGGGUUGACUUGAGGAAGGUAGGGGAGAAUGGAAUUCCUGGUGGAGCGGUGGAAUGCGCAGAUAUCAGGAGGAACACCAGUGGCGAAGGCGGUUCUCUGGGCCUUUCCUGACGCUGAGGAGCGAAAGCGUGGGGAGCGAACAGGCUUAGAUACCCUGGUAGUCCACGCUGUAAACGGUGGGUACUAGGUGUGGGGUCCAUUCCACGGGUUCCGUGCCGUAGCUAACGCUUUAAGUACCCCGCCUGGGGAGUACGGCCGCAAGGCUAAAACUCAAAGGAAUUGACGGGGCCCCGCACAAGCGGCGGAGCAUGCGGAUUAAUUCGAUGCAACGCGUAGAACCUUACCUGGGUUUGACAUGGAUCGGGAGUGCUCAGAGAUGGGUGUGCCUCUUUUGGGGUCGGUUCACAGGUGGUGCAUGCCUGUCGUCAGCUCGUGUCGUGAGAUGUCGGGUUAAGUCCCGCAACGAGCGCAACCCUUGUUCACUGUUGCCAGCACGUUAUGGUGGGGACUCAGUGGAGACCGCCGGGGUCAACUCGGAGGAAGGUGGGGAUGACGUCAAGUCAUCAUGCCCCUUAUGUCCAGGGCUUCACGCAUGCUACAAUGGCUGGUACAGAGAGUGGCGAGCCUGUGAGGGUGAGCGAAUCUCGGAAAGCCGGUCUCAGUUCGGAUUGGGGUCUGCAACUCGACCUCAUGAAGUCGGAGUCGCUAGUAAUCGCAGAUCAGCAACGCUGCGGUGAAUAAAUUCCCGGGGCU